rnacentral:rRNA from 1 species
AGGUCAAGCUACAAAGGGCGUAUGGUGAAUGCCUUGGCAUCAGGAGCCGAUGAAGGACGUGAUAAGCUGCGAUAAGCUUUGGGUAGACGCACAUAGUCUGAGAUCCAAAGAUUUCCGAAUGAGGAAACUCACAUGGGAAACCCCAUGUAUCGUUAACUGAAUAAAUAGGUUAACGAGGGUAAACCUAGGGAACUGAAACAUCUAAGUACCUAGAGGAAGAGAAAGAAAAAUCGAUUUUCUAAGUAGCGGCGAGCGAAAGGGAAAGAGCCCAAACCGGAAACUUGUUUCCGGGGUUGUGGAUAGAACAUAACGAGAAACUAUAACUAAUUGAAGAGAGCUGGAAAGCUCUACCGUAGAAGGUAAUAGUCCUGUAAGUGAAAGUUAGAGUAAUCAAGUUCUAAUCCAGAGUACCACGAGACACGUGAAACCUUGUGGGAAGCAGGGAGGACCACCUCCCAAGGCUAAAUACUACCUGAUGACCGAUAGUGAAGCAGUACCGUGAGGGAAAGGUGAAAAGAACCCCGGGAGGGGAGUGAAAUAGAACCUGAAACCAUAUGUCUACAACCGAUCAAAGCACCUUAUGUGUGCGAUGAUGUGCUUUUUGUAGAACGAGCCAACGAGUUACGAUAUGUAGCAAGGUUAAGUACUUAAGGUACGGAGCCGAAGGGAAACCAAGUCUUAAUAGGGCAACUAGUUGCAUGUCGUAGACCCGAAACCGGGUGACCUAUCCAUGGCCAGGUUGAAGCGAGGGUAAAACCUCGUGGAGGACCGAACCACGUUGCUGUUGAAAAAGCAUGGGAUGAGCUGUGGAUAGCGGAGAAAUUCCAAUCGAACUCGGAGAUAGCUGGUUCUCCUCGAAAUAGCUUUAGGGCUAGCGUCGAAUAUGAGUAAUGGAGGUAGAGCACUGAAUGGGCUAGGGGGCAUAGCGCUUACCGAACCUUAUCAAACUCCGAAUGCCAUAUACUAUAAGUUCGGCAGUCAGACUACGAAUGAUAAGAUCCGUGGUCAAAAGGGAAACAGCCCAGAUCGUCAGCUAAGGUCCCAAAGUGUAAGUUAAGUGGAAAAGGAUGUGGGAUUUCUAAGACAACUAGGAUGUUGGCUUAGAAGCAGCCACUCAUUAAAAGAGUGCGUAAUAGCUCACUAGUCGAGAGAUCCUGCGCCGAAGAUGUUCGGGGCUAAAACUUACCACCGAAGCUACGGGCUUGAAUUUAUUCAAGCGGUAGAGGAGCGUCGUAAUCGGGCUGAAGUCAUACCGUAAGGAGUGGUGGACUGAUUACGAGUGAGAAUGUUGGCAUUAGUAGCGAGAUGUAGGUGAGAAUCCUACAGGCCGAAUACCUAAGGUUUCCUCAGGAAGGCUCGUCCGCUGAGGGUUAGUCGGGACCUAAGCCGAGGCCGAAAGGCGUAGGUGAUGGACAACUGGUUGAUAUUCCAGUACCACUACCAUCGUUAUUAUCGAUGGCGUGACGCAGGAGGAUAGUGUGUGCUAGCUAUUGGAUGCUAGUCUAAGCAUUUAGUCAGUUACAAUAGGCAAAUCCGUUGUAAUAAUGAUGAGAUGUUAUGGGGAAGGUUCUACGGAACCGAAGUACAUGAUUCCACGCUGCCAAGAAAAGCGUCUAGAGAGAGAAGUAGUGCCCGUACCGCAAACCGACACAGGUAGGUGAGGAGAGAAUCCUAAGGCCGGCGGAAGAAUUGCAGUUAAGGAACUCGGCAAAUUGAUCCCGUAAGUUAGCAAUAAGGGAUGCCUACGAGAGUAGGCCGCAGAGAAUAGGCUCAAGCAACUGUUUAGCAAAAACACAGGUCUCUGCUAAAGCGUAAGCUGAUGUAUAGGGGCUGACGCCUGCCCGGUGCUGGAAGGUUAAGGGGAACACUUAGCGUAAGCGAAGGUGUGAACUUAAGCCCCAGUAAACGGCGGCCGUAACUAUAACGGUCCUAAGGUAGCGAAAUUCCUUGUCAGGUAAGUUCUGACCCGCACGAAUGGCGUAAUGACUUGAGCACUGUCUCAACUGCAAAUCCGGCGAAGUUGUAGUACCAGUGAAGAUGCUGGUUACCCGCGAUUGGACGGAAAGACCCCGUAGAGCUUUACUGUAGCUUAGCAUUGAAUUUCGGUAUUGUCUGUACAGGAUAGGUGGGAGACUGAGAGACUAGGGCGUCAGCCUUAGUGGAGUCGACGUUGGGAUACCACCCUGAUAGUACUGAAGUUCUAACUGGCGGCCAUGAAUCUGGUCACAGGACAUUGUUAGGUGGGCAGUUUGACUGGGGCGGUCGCCUCCUAAAAAGUAACGGAGGCGCCCAAAGGUUCCCUCAGAACGGUCGGAAAUCGUUCGAAGAGUGCAAAGGCAGAAGGGAGCCUGACUGCGACACCCACAAGUGGAGCAGGGACGAAAGUCGGGCUUAGUGAUCCGGUGGUACCUCGUGGGAGGGCCAUCGCUCAACGGAUAAAAGCUACCUCGGGGAUAACAGGCUGAUCUCCCCCAAGAGUCCACAUCGACGGGGAGGUUUGGCACCUCGAUGUCGGCUCGUCGCAUCCUGGGGCUGAAGUAGGUCCCAAGGGUUGGGCUGUUCGCCCAUUAAAGCGGCACGCGAGCUGGGUUCAGAACGUCGUGAGACAGUUCGGUCCCUAUCCGUCGCGGGCGUAGGAAAUUUGAGAGGAGCUGUCCUUAGUACGAGAGGACCGGGAUGGACUGACCUCUGGUGUACCAGUUGUUCCGCCAGGAGCACAGCUGGGUAGCUAAGUCGGGAAGGGAUAAACGCUGAAAGCAUCUAAGCGUGAAGCCCACCUCAAGAUGAGAUUUCCCAUAGCAUAAGCUAGUAAGACCCCUUGAAGAACACAAGGUUGAUAGGUCAGAGGUGUAAGUAUGGUAACAUAUUUAGCUGACUGAUACUAAUAGGUCGAGGGCUUGACCUAAUU